GUCUGAUUUCGGAAGCCUUUCUAUUGAGCGCCUUUGAACUGAUCUUGACGCUGGAAAACCCGGUUUUUCUGAGCUGAAGAGGUCCUAGCGCGCAAAAGAGAGUUGGGGAGGAAGAUAUAGUUCUGAUAGGUGUGUUUGCCGAAGAAGAAGGAUUGCCCAGCCCAAAAGCAAGGGCUUAGCCCAACAAGCGAAGGGGCGAAGCGAUGAGUGUUUUCCCGCCAUACGGAAUCAACUCUGGUAUGCGGCUUGGAACCGAAUUUAACGUGUAGAAGUCGAAUUUCUUAAGUUUUUUUUUUUUUUUUCAAUUGUAAUUCUUAAUAGUAUUAAGCAAAGUUUCAUACUCUCUUUCUAAAGUGGAAGACUUUCUUUAUUUUAUAAUGCCCUAUAAGCAAAGCAAGCUACAGUUUCG
rnacentral:misc_RNA from 1 species